AACGAACGCUGGCGGCAUGCCUAACACAUGCAAGUCGAACGAGACCUUCGGGUCUAGUGGCGCACGGGUGCGUAACGCGUGGGAACCUGCCCUUAGGUUCGGAAUAACUCCCCGAAAGGGGUGCUAAUACCGGAUAAUGUCUUCGGACCAAAGAUUUAUCGCCUUUGGAUGGGCCCGCGUUGGAUUAGCUAGUUGGUAGGGUAAAAGCCUACCAAGGCGACGAUCCAUAGCUGGUCUGAGAGGAUGAUCAGCCACACUGGGACUGAGACACGGCCCAGACUCCUACGGGAGGAGGCAGGAGGGAAUAUUGAAGGAUGGGCGAAAGCCUGAUCCAGCAAGGCCGCGUGAGUGAUGAAGGCGUUAGGGUUGUAAAGCUCUUUUACCCGGGAUGAUAAUGACAGUACCGGGAGAAUAAGCUCCGGCUAACUCCGUG
rnacentral:rRNA from 1 species